rnacentral:lncRNA from 1 species
GGCUACCUAUGGAAGGUGUGUCAACUUAAGGGGGCGUCCCACUUCACCACACAAACUAUUUCAAAACGUACAAAUCGGAAGGCGAUGUGGACUUUAUCUCUUUUUACCUUCUUAAUCUUUUUAAAAAAUCAAUUUCUACCGUAAUAAUAUUUGCCCCCUGCGAUCUAUGCCUAUCUGGAAAUGUAGUAAUCAUGUGCUUUUCGCGUUGCGUUGCAACUUUUCCUAAAUCCUUCCUCAGUCUCUGCGUUUUUCUUCCCUUCGCCUGUUGUUGUUUAAAUUAAUACAAUCAGGAAACAGCCUGAUGGGUCACACUUCAAGUUAACUGUUGUUGAAGACCACCUGCAGAAGAAAAACCCAAGUGAGCUUCACACCCUAUCAAACAGACAAUGAACGUCACAUUACUGGACAUAACAGAUGUUCUUCUACAGGGCUGUCCAAUAAGAUGGAUGGAGCAAUGGAAUUCCCAAAGAACCAUGACCAAAGACUCCACACACCUCACUGAAGAGGAAUUGGAGUCACCUGAAGUGAAAACUGUUAACAGCACUUGGGUAAAUAACUCUGAAAAACAGAAGAAGACUAGAGAAGCAGCCCAGAUUUUCAGACCAAUGCUCAAUACCUUCUGCAGAGGAAAAAGUCUGGAUAAGAAGCUCAAACUGCAUCAGAGUGCCAGUGAUGAGACUGAUGUCCAUAACAGAUACUUUUCUACAGAGGAAUUGGAAUCACACGAGGUAAGAUCUGCAAAAGAAGCCUGGACAAAUACCUUUGGAAAACAGAAGAGGAGCAGAAGAUCAGCCCAAGCCUUCUGGCACAUGGUGAACUUGUUCACCUGCUGCAGAGGAAAAACCAGGGUGAAAAAGUUCAGAACCCCUCACAAUGACAGUGAUGAGACUGAUGUACAUAACAGAUACGUUUCUACAGGUAUGAAACUGGUGCAGGACUUUGUUAAAAAUACCCAAAAUAUUUUAGGGGUGAAGCAAAAUCAGAGGACCUCUAUUCUCUACUCCCACCACUGUAGCUCUAUUUCACAAACAUAUCCAUAGCCACAACAAAUAGGAUUGUGAAGACAGGACACCUGUAAUUAUACUCUUCUUCAGUUUAUGCCAUUUGGACGGUACCCUUCCCAAUAUGGCUAUUAUACUGAAAUCAUUGGUGUAAUCCAGAAAGGUACCCUUGGUCUUGCUCAGGAUGUGGUACUGCACUGUUGUCACCACCAGCUUGUAUGGUUUCAAGUUAUUGGAGUUUGUGAUCUGUCCACAGCACUGCUAAGUAUCCCUUGUUCUCCUAUGCUUUUUUAAUUGAUUGCAUCACAAUGCAAGUAUGCUCUACGCACCCUAGUACCCCAAGGGUUAAUCUUUUCUGCACUGAUAUGUCAAUAUAUGUAUUCUUGAGGAGGAAUGCUGUUAGAGGCUGAGCAACUGCCAAAGAAUAACUUACCUUGAACACUAUUUACUGCUCACAUCUUAUAAUGUACCUGGAUGUAACAUUGGUGAGAUAACUUAAGGUCAUUGGAUGUUUUGAGUUUUUAAGCAUCAUCCAAGUUUCCUUACCAGGGUUGAUCAGAUUCUAGGUUGCAUCCAGCUAGUGCUACCUUGAACCUACAGUUCACCUCCCUUGACUUACUG